CUACGGGAGGCUCCAGUGGGGAAUUUUGCGCAAUGGGGGAAACCCUGACGCAGCAAUACCGCGUGAGUGAAGAAGGCCUUUGGGUCGUAAAGCUCUUUUCUUGGGGAAGAUAGUGACGGUACCCAGGGAAUAAGCACCGGCUAACUCCGUGCCAGCAGCCGCGGUAAUACGGAGGGUGCAAGCGUUGUUCGGAUUUACUGGGCGUAAAGGGCACGUAGGCGGCACAGCAAGUUAAGGGUGAAAUCCCGGGGCUCAACUCCGGAACUGCUCUUAAAACUGCUGAGCUAGAGAUAGUCAGAGGCGGGUGGAAUUCCAGGUGUAGAGGUGAAAUUCGUAGAUAUCUGGAGGAACACCGGUGGCGAAGGCGGCCCGCUGGGGCUAUUCUGACGCUAAGGUGCGAAAGCGUGGGGAGUAAACGGGAUUAGAUACCCCGGUAGUC
rnacentral:rRNA from 1 species